GCUUAUCAGCCAGGACCGCGGUGUAAAGUUUUGCGAUCGUGUUGCCCAGCGUGAUAGGC
rnacentral:miRNA from 1 species